rnacentral:lncRNA from 1 species
GUUGGGUCGGUGUUGCAUGAUAUAUUUCAAUCGUCCGCUCUCACAGAACCAAACACCGCCGGUUGCCGGAGGCUAAGAGCGAUCUCUGUAACUCCUCUCUCCGGAGACCCAAACACCCCCAGUCCCAAUCCUUGGCAGGAGACCCACUAUAUGUCUUUAAUCCACGAAUCAUCAAGAUUGAUGUAAGUUUAAGGGGUUUCUGUACUAAGAUGCUGUAAGUUUAAAAUUGAUGUAGGGACGAGAAAAAUCGAAAGUUAAUUGCUGUUUUCUUAGUUCUCUCUCUCUCUCUCUCUCUCUCUCUCUCUCUCUCUCUCUCUCUCUUCUCAUUAGGGUUUCUUGUUUUACCCUGUCUUCGUCUCUCCAUUAUUUCGAUGGCGUUUUUAUUUCUGUAAAAAAACUGAGUUUCUGGGGUUAAGUAACUGAACUAGUUUCAUUGCAUCUUAAAAGGGAAGGAAAGUACAGACUCUAGCUUUGUUGAUCUUUUCGUUGGGGAUUUUCAUCUUUUUCCUUUCAUUGGGAGUUUUGCUGUAAAAUCUAAUAUAGCGUGUCUGUUGUGUUUAGAUGGUUUUGUUCUAGUGAAAUCCAUUUUCUUUUUGUGUGUAUGUGAUCCAUUGUUUUCUUUAAUAUCUUGCUUAAUGUUUAUUGUGUUUCUUGUUUCUCUUCCAUUGCUUUGCUUUUACUGAUAAAAGAACUUUUGGUCAAAAUCUUGGAUCUACUCAUGUUUUAAACAUGUUAGGUUUGCUUACUUGAUUAAUAUUGGCUAAUAACAACACAUAAUCUGCCACAUUUAUGUAUUUCUACCUUUUUCAGCUAUUAUCAUCUAACAAAUCCUCUUUUUGUGGCUAUUUGAUAGAAUAACUUAACAGGAGCACCUAGAAAUCUGGAAAAAAAGCUCACCAUUAUACGAUGCAGAUGCAAAGGUAAGAAGCUAAACUAUACUUUAUUACGCUUAACUUUCAUGGCAUUAAACUCUCACUAGUUUCGUUUUAUUAAGAUAUUCUACUUGUAAUUUUAGCAUUAUACCUUUAAUUAUAGGGUUAUGUUUUCAAGAAUUAACCUAUUAAGAAAUUCUACUUUUUAUCUUUUUCCUUAUAAAGAGUACAUGAAGAUUUAGCCUAUUAAGAUAUUGUCCUUUGAAAUUUGAAACUUUUUGAUUUUGGUUACCAGAUUAUAGCAUACAACAUUAUAUUUUGAAAACCUUGUCGACUAUAGUAUUCUAACUUCAAUUGCAUUGUUUAAUUCUUAUAGUCUCACCAUCUAACAUAUUAAGAUAUUUUUCUUCUAGUUUUUUCAUGUUAAGAUUUCAUUAAUUUUUUAUUGAAUCAUUGUCUCAUUUAGGGCAUUAUACUUCCAAACUCUUUCUUGCUAAGAUGUUCUAUAAUUUAUUUUCUAUUAAGACACUCUACUUUGAAAAUCUUGUCACAAGUAGCAUUAUACUCUUUUUUUCUUAACAAGUCAAAACUAACCUAUUAAGACAUUGAUUUUUUCCAUUAAUUUGUUUCAAAUUUUAACAUUAUAUUUUCAACACUAACAAGUCAAAACUAACCUGUUCAAACAUUGUACAUUGAAAUUUGUUUGAUUUUGGUUAUCAGUUGUAGCAUUAUACUUUCAAUUAUUUUCUUUUUUUAAAGACAUUGUAGUUUGAAAAUCUAACCAAUUGAAGAAUUAUACUUUCGAUUUUUGUUGAGUUGUACUUCAGUUUUUUUUUUUCCUUUAAGAGAUUGUACUUUAAAUCUAAUCUGUUUCAAAAAUCUGUUUGAUUUUGUCACCAUUAAUGGUGGUAUGUAUCUAUUCUUUCAUAUUUAUAAAUUUUAGUUUUUUUUUUCCUAUUAGACAUGUACUUUGAAAAUAUAAAGUUGUUUUUGUUUACCAAUUAUGACAUUGUACUUUCUUCUAUAUUUUCUUAUUAACACAUUACAAUUCCUAUUGUUUUUUUUCCUAAUUAGACAUUUUCCUUAUAUUUUUUUCCUGUUAUGACAUUGUACAUUACAAAUUUACACUUUGUUGAUUUUUAGUGCCAAUUAUGGUCUUAAAUUUAUAUUUUUUUUUCUAUUAACACAUUGUACUUUUAUCCUUUGCGUAAAAUUAUAUUUUCAAUUGUAUCUUUAUACUUUCAAAAUCUAACCUAUUAAGACAUUGUAAUGUUGAUUGUUUUCUUGUUAAGACUUUUGCAAUUAUAGAAUCUAACUUAUAAUAAGACUGUAUUAUAAAAAUCUAUACUGUUUUUUUUGUUAGUGGUUAUAUCAUUAUACUUACAAUUUUUUUUUAUGAAAACAUUAUACUUAUAUUAUUUAUCUCAUUAAAACAUACUUUGAAAAUCUAACCAUUUGCAACAUUAUUUUUUUUCAAUUCUAAUAUAUUCUUUGAAUGCAACUUUUCAAGAAGUACUUUUGUUUUUUCUUUUUUUAUUAUUGUAGUUUAAAAAGAUCAACUUUAAUUUUUGUUACCAAUUGUGGCAUUAUACUAAGAAGACUAUAAUUUGUCCUAUUAAGUCAUUGUAUAUUUGUUUGAAUAAAACUAAACCUGUUUGAUUUUAUUAACUAGUUAACAUAUAUAUAUAUAUANNNNNNNNNNNNNNUCUAACCUAUAAAGACAUUAAUUUUUGAAAUUUUUUCCAUUUUGGUUGCCAGUUGUAUCAUUACACUUUCAACAUAAUCUUUUUUUUGUUAUUAACUAUUGCAUUACACAAUUUAAUAAGACAUUUUACUUUCAACUGUAUUUAGUUCAGACAUUCCCUUUUAAAAAACCGACCUACUAAGACAUUGUACUUUGAAAAUCUAAUCUUAUUUGGUUUUAGUUACCAAAUAAUAUCUCAUUUUUUCAUUUUAAGAUUUCACUUUGAAAAUCCCUUUUUAGACAUUGUAGAUCUGUUUUUUUAUACACUUCAUAAAUCUAAUGUAUUAUUUUUGUUUUUCUUAUUAAUACAUUACACUUUGGAACCUUAACGUGUUUACUUUUGGUAACCAAAUAGCGUUAUGCUUCUCAUUAUUCUUCCUAUUAAGAUGUUAUGUUUUUAAUAUGUAUCUUUAUUUUAGUUCAGCAUAAUAGUUAAAAUUAUUUAUUAUUAAUAUUAUUUGAAAAUCCAUCUUGUUAAGACGUACUUUUACUUUUUUUUUUCCUUGCAGCAGGCAAAAAUAUCAACUUUAAAUAUAUUACCAAUUGUGGGAUUACACUUUCACUUUUUUCUGAUUAAGACAUUGUAGUUUAUAAUAAUAUAUGCUAUAUUUUUUGUAUUAUGAGAUUAUUUUUUGAAAAUCUAACCAAUUAUAAUAUUAUAGUUUCAAUUAUAGUGUUGUACUUCUAUUAUCUAUUAUAGUUAGACAUCGCACUUUGAAUAUCUAACCUAUUAAGACAUUUUUUUUUCUUAUGGUUACCAAAUAGCUUUAUACUUCUCAUUUUGUCCUAUUAAGAUAUUGUGAUUUUAAUAUAUUUCACCAUUUAGUUUCACAAAAGUAAUAUAAGUGCAUUUGUGGUUUGCUGUUUGGUUUUGACAAAUAACUGCACUCGACUCAACCCUAGUUGCUUCUAACUAUUAAUAGCCACUAUUUUUGUCAUAUUUAUCCAUUUUGAGGAUGAAGUGAAUAUAAAUAUGCAAGAUAUUCCAUAUUUUGAAAUUCCUAGGAUCUUGAACAAUUAAAAAUACGAACCUAGUAUUUGCUCACGUUCUUGUGCCUAAGGAUUUUCAGCUGUAUUAUAUGAGUAUGAUUUUUCUUUUAGUCACUAACCAAUAUUUAUUUAAUUAAUAAUUUAUUUCUUCAGUAUGGACUAACAUCUAACAUGUAGCAUAUUAUCUGGGAUGGACAUAGGUUUUGUUAUUGGUAUUGUUGUAUAAUAAAAGAAAAAAUAUAUCAGUAUUUUAAUUAAUAUUAACCGGAGACCAAGAAAAUGAAAUCAUAGUGUUAUUUAAAUUGAAUUUUAAAACUUUAAUUAACAUUCAAAACACUUUUGCAGGUUUUGCAAUUGACCAGUCAUUUUUCAUUUUUCUGCCCUAGCUACUUGAAUUACUACCUCAAAACACAUUUGUAAUACAAAUUGAAAGGGUACUUGUGAGAUUUUAUAAAACAUCACAUAUAGUAGUGUACCCCAUCAAAUGGUUGGACUCCAAGAGUCCAUGUUAAAAUGUUUCCAACAUAUGGCCAAUCCUAGGCAAACACCUAAUAUUGGCAUGAGUGUUGUAACCAACAUCGGAUUAUCGACCCUCUAAAUAGACCAAAUCAGACAACCUGCGAAAGCCACAUCAUACCAACACUUUUUCAGGACAAAAAGGAAGAUUUUAUCCCUAAAAACAACAAUAUAAAUAACACCUACAUGGAAGUUGUUAGUAAGACUUAACAUACUCUCAAACACUUCUGGAGUCUCUAUAUUCUACCUAGGGCAUUAGAGUGUAAUUCAGAGGCCCAUAUUAUGACCGACUCUAGUUUUCCCUUUACUAAUCAUAGGUUUUAAAGAUAUAUUGUCUCACCCAAAAGACGGCCCAUUUUAGGCCCAUAUUACGAGUGACCCUUGUUUUUCCCUUUUAUGUGUACUGUUCUUAAGGACACUCCACUCUAAUCUAAUACAUCUUAGUCUAUAACUUAUUAUACAACCUAAUCAUUUGACUAACUUUUAUUUAUUACUUUAUGAUAAUCUAAUUAUUUCACUAACUUUAUUAGUUAGUUAUUACAUUAUUAUUAUUUCACUAACAUUAUUGAACUUAUUUUUUGUAUAAGAUAAAUAAGCAACAACUAAUCAUAAAAUAUCUUUCACUAAGUUUGUGUUACUUGUAAAAUUCUAGUCGCGACUUAUAUAUAUAUUGCUGAUGGGCUUUGUUGCGAAUCCAUAAUGCCGCAACGGGAGGUAUUGUGUACUCUCCCUCAAAUUAUACAAUUACAUAGUGAUUGGUGUACACACGUAAAUGUAAGCACCUAAUGAUUUUGAAACUCUUUAGGAACUUUCCAAAGAGAAAAAAAAAUUAUAAAGCUUUCAUUUAGUCAAAAUUUAGAUCAUCACAUCAAACUUUGUUGACUAUUAGGAUGUGUCUUUGGCAUAUGCAUCCGGUGUUUUGUUGGUGCUAACUCAUUCUUAUCACCAUCCAAUGAAAACUAGAGUAAUGCUGAUGAUCUUCACCAUAGCCAAGACCAGCGGUUAUUGAUUGACAACCACAAUUUUCAUUACCCAUUACAAUUUGUAUAUGUGAUGUAUGGAUGAAACAUAAAUAAAAUUUUCCUCCAACAAUGAACUAUGUCCCAUUAAAAUUUUCUUGUUCAAGUUAAUUUAGUAAGAUCAUUGGCAUAUUGGCUCUUCGUUUAAGUCUAUGUAGUAUCAACAUUGGUCUAUUGGUUUCUCGUACGAACCCAUGAAGAAUGAACUAUGCCCAGUCGGUUCAUCGUUCAAGUCCAUGAAUAAUGAAUUAUACCUUGGAGGUUCCUGUUUUAAGUUUGAACAACUGUAUCUAUGAGGAGCUUGACUUUGAUGCUGAACACAUUUUGCUUUUAGGCGCACGUGGUUUUUUUUAACUAAAGGUUCAUUGAUCACUUUUUUUUAAUCCCUUAUCUCUUCCAUCAUUCUUAAAUAAUUAUAUUUGAUAUGAUUUGGUUGAUUGUUGAAUAUUUCUUUAAACUUUUGCUUAUGAUAUAUAGAAGGCUCCAAAUCAAUCGAAUCUAGAAUAGGCAAAACUGUAGUCAACAUAGAAAACAUCAUAAAGUGAUUAACCAGACCUAUAUCGACAUAAAGUUUGUAAGCAUAUGGUAGUCCAAAACAUGUCUACAAUUGACAUCCACAAUUCUCUAGAGUUGUUACAGAACCUCAACGUCCAAACAUCAAACAUCAUGUGCUUUCAAAUACUUUCCUACCAAUUCGAAUGACAAUUAUAUUUUUUUUGUUUGUGCAUCUUUAUUUUUGGAUAUACCACCACAAUUACAACAAAAUACUACUUUAGAGAUGAAACCAUUAGUUUAUAUUUGAUCGUUUAGUGACGACACGAGAUCUAUAGAUGGUAGAGAUUUAAUGACUUUAGAUCUGGUGGAGAUUUAAUGACAAAACAAUGUUAACAUGAGUUUUUCUCUCUCCAUUGUUAGGUCUUUAGAUCUCGUGGAGAUUUAAUGACUUUGGUGUAGAAUUUGACAUGUUCUUAAGGUUACGUCAUCGUCACUAAAUGAUAAAAGCUAAUAACCUGUGUUGCAGAAAUUGAUUGAUUAUCGCUAAUUGGACCUCCAAUGAUGAUAUUUAUUGCUAACUGGUCACUAUAAUCGGGCUUGGUCAAUGCAUGUCAAAGUCGGAAUUAAUCGGACCUAUUCUAGUUUGGUCAAUCCAGGUCAAAGUCGAUCUAAUCGGACAUAAUCAGACCUGAUUUGCCGAUUAAUCGCUUAUUUUGGAGGAUUAAAGUUAGAUUUAUAAAUUUUUGAAUAAUUUUCUUAAUAAUCAAUGAUUCCCGAUUAAUCUUUGCUUAGCCAAUUAAUCCUUAAUUGGUAGCCCACCGAUUAGCGAUUUCUGCAACCAUGGUAAUAAUUAAUGACUUUAUCUCUGAAAUAGUAUUUUGGUUGUGAUUAUGGUGGUAUAUCUAAAAAUAAAGAUGUACAAACAAAAAAAUAUAAUUGUCCAUUCGAAGAAUUGUUAGUAUUUGAAGGCGUGACUUUAAAGAUUUGCAACAACCCUCGAGAAUUGUCGACGUCAAUUGCGAACAUGUUUUGGAUUACCUUGUGCUCACAAGCUUGCGAUGUAUGUUAUAAUCAAUUUAUGAUAUUUUGUAUGUUAUUCUUUUUGGAGAAAGCUUGAUUUGGAGUCUUCUAUAUCUCUAUGAAUAUGGUGAUCUUAGUGUUGAUCAUCAAAUGUAAAGGUUUAAAAAAAUAUUCAACAGUCAAUCAUAUCAUAUCAAUUACAAUUAUUUAAAAAAGAUGGAUCCAUCAAAAAAAUUUGAUUAAUGAACCUUCAAUUAAGGAAAAUAAUUGUGGACGUCUCAAAAGUGAAUAGUUAAGCUUCUCACAAAUAUAGUUGUUCAGACUUAAAUCAGGAACCAUCAAGGUAUAUUUUAUCAUUCAUGGACUUAAACGAUGAAAUGACUAAGCAUAGUUUGUUUAUCAUGGGUGAGUAUGAGGAACCAAUAGACCAAUGUUCGUAACACAUAGACGUAAACGGGGAACGAAUAAACUUUGUAGAUUAACUUGAACAAGGAAGUACUAAUGCGACAUAAUUCAUUGUUGAAGGAAAUUUCCUCUAUAUUUCAUCUAAUACAUCACAUACAUUACACAAUAUAAUGGGUGAUGGAAAUUGUGGUUGUCGAUCAUCAACCAUUUUGUUUUCGGUAUGGUGAUCAUCAGUUAUACAUCACACACAUUUUGCCUUCAUUGUCUUUCUUUAUGAAGAUUUAGCCAACAUGAAAAACACAUUGGGUGCUUAUGUCUAAGACAGACAUCUUGAAAACCAACAAAUUUGGUGUGAUCGUCCAAUUUUUGACCAAUGAAGACUUGACUUUUUUUUUUUUUUUUUUCCUGUUGGAGAUGUCCUAAAUAGUUUCAAAAUCAUUAUGUCAUUACAUUUACCCUUGUGUACAUUGAUCACGACAUCCGCCACAAAGCCUUGUCAGUUGAUUUUUAUAAAAUUAUGUCAGUUGAUUUAGUUGAAAAACCCGAUUUUUAACCUUGGCAUAAACUCUAGGGUUUCGAUUUUUAUAAAAUUAUGUUGUUUAAAGUGGUUUUUCUUGUGAGUUGAUUCAAUUAAAAUCAUCUGAACCCCAACAUGCCAAAACAACAAUGAUACCCUAUGAGUCGAUUUUAAUCUUCUAACCCUUUAAUGUCACCUUAUAGUCUUCACCAAUCCCCCUUGUGUUGAUUGAUAGAAAAUUCAUUAAGUAUUUCAGCCAACACUAGAUUAUUGACGUCAAUCUUAAAGCCAAUCAUUGCCCUAAUAUUUGUAGUAGCCUUGGUUUCACUAAUCUUCUAUGUGGUGUUGUAAUCGAUGAUUUGAGUGGAAGGGAUAGGGUUCUAAGCCGACAUAUGAGGUCUGAGCUCAAUAGGGUUCUCAUCACCGUUUGUGAAUAGAUCAUGGAUUGGGAACUGCGACCUAUGAUUCAAGAUCUCGGAUACGACACCUCUUGUUAGAAGAAUAUCCGUUCACACUUGCUUGUUAAAAGAGUUGGCAAUUGGAUCAAGUUUUAUCUACAAAAAAUGAAAAUACCUUAUGUUUUACGCUUUUUUUUAUGUGCUCGUGAAAGAAUCUCGUGUUUUCGUCCCUAUCAACCAACCAUUUGAUCUGGGAUUUUUGUUUGAUAUCAAGAAUUUUGUUUUUUUUCCAUCUCAAUGAUCGAUUUGUAUCCUGUAAUUCUAGUCUCAAUUUCUUUAUCAGUUAACAGUCUUGAUUUAGCUUCAAAAUCAAAUGGUCCAUCAAUUUCUUGAAUUGCAAGAGUUCUUUCUCCUCCUUUGACUAGCCAGUAGCUCUACAUUGUUUCUAUCUAGAUAUGUUUGAGCUUGGCUGCCAAAUACAUAUUAGGUGUACGAUAUCCAACAGAAUUAUUCCAUUGGAUAUAAAACCCUUCUUGAACCUAUCCCUCAACAUCCAGGAAUUGAAGAACCCGAAUGGAGACAGGCCAAAAUCAUGACGAGAGGAGGACUUGAGAAAAAGAUAGUGGUCCGAAAGUUCUCUAGGAAGAGUUGUUAACUAAAACAUGAGGGUUAAGGUUGAGAAAAGUGGGAUAAACGAGAAAUCGCUCAAGUUUAAUGAGUUUAAGAUCUGCAUUGCGGAAGCAUGUGAACCGAUAACCCCUCAUUUUGAUUUCUCUAAGCCCUGUCUAAUGUAUGAAAUUAUUAAAGUCUACCAUUUCUUGAGCUUAAAAUCAAGUUGAUUCUCUCCUAUUUUAUCCGCAUGACAUUGAAGUCUCCCAUCGCAAUCCAAAUACCAGAGUUUUAUUUAUUUAUUUAUUUAUUUAUUACCGUCAAUUAACACCUUCCACAAUGUUGCUUUAUCAGAUGUAGAUUGAGGCCCAUACACAUUAGCAAAGAUCACAGGUAUCUCGAAUGCCAUUCCGGAGUCCUAUGUUAAUUAACUAGUGUCUAGUGGAAAUAACCUCAUUAGAAGUGAACAUGUUUCUGUCCAAAACGUUAAGUAAACUGUAACAUCCCCCUCUGGCACGUAUCACAAUAUUGUCCGUUUUGGGCCACUCGGCACGAGGACUUCCCAGGGGGUCACCCAUCCUGGUACUACUCCCGCCCGAGCACGCUUAACUGCAGAGUUCUUAUGGGAUCUGCUGCCCUCACGGCUUUAAAAUGCGUUGUGUUAGGGAAGGUAUCCACACCCCUUAUAAGGAAUGCUUAGUUCUCCUUCCCAGCCGAUGUGGGAUCAGAUCUAACCCACUUUCACCCCCUUUAUAGGGUUUGACGUCCCCGUCGAACACAUCGACCCGUAACCUGGCUCUGAUACCACUUUUGUCACACCCCGCUAAAGCGGAAAUGCAAGAUAUGAUAGCGAUAAAUCACCAUAGCAGUAUUUAAAAGUUUACAACCCAUAGCUUAAAAAGAAACAAAGUACAAGUUUUCCAAAACACCAUUGUUCAAAAUAUAACUUCAUAAUAGCUUCAACACGAUGUUCAACACGAUGCAGCAUGCUCUAUGAUGAUGAAUCUUUACAGCCACUUACUAAUUAUUUCCUGAAAAAGCAUGUAAAACGAGCGUCAACUAUGAAAAUAGUUGGUGAGUUCACAAGUUUAUAAAAUCGAGCUUGAAAUAAGGCUUUUCGUAAAUACAAGUACAUUGCUUUAAUGAUAAACAAAGUUGAUUGCUAUUAAUGAAUACAAGUUUAUUGCUAUAACGAGAAAUGAGUUUGUAUGUAUAUGAGCAAACAAUGAGUCUCAACCAAACCUAUGACUGAAGCCCUAUCGAGAUCUAUGCUUAUCGUUCCAUAGAUGAAUAUGGUAUCAUGCACUCCAGCGAUAGGGGCGAGUGAGGAGUUGUCAAUUCCUAAUAGCGCUAUCCAUAAUGACCAUUGGCUCAAAGAGUUAAUGGUUAGAGAUAAGGGAAGGGCCUUAGUACGAUAAGUUCUCAUGUUCCGUGUUGCAUAGACAUACAUAAAGAAACAUAGCAAUACAAUAGCAAUCAUGUUUGAUACAAAUCAAUUUAAAUACAACAUGCAAAUUAUAGUUUUUCUGGACAUGCUUUUCCACCCCAAAACAUAAAAACUGAAAAUAGGGGAGUGCGUGAAUACUCACAAUGUUUCGUGUAGGUACAAGUAGUGCCUCGAGAUGCACCAACGUCUUUACUACCAGGACCCUAUGACAUCAAACACACACUAGUGAGUUUCCAUGUCGUAAUUUAAUGCUAAUAUACUAAACUCUACACAUAGUGAAAUGCCAAUAGAUCGGAAGNAACUCUACACAUAGUGAAAUGCCAAUUUAUGUUUUAGUAUUGGAUUUUAUAUUAAUUAGUUACACUUUUUCAAAGUUUUAAGUCUUUAUAACAACAUAAAUUCACGAAAAAUAGCAUUCAAAGGAUAAAAAUUUUCAAAAUUUUUAUUUAACUGUUAUUACACAAUACUAAGCUGGGAAUAAUAUAAAAAUGGAUUUCCAAGCUGUUUAAUUAUAUUUUAUGAUUUUUGAGCAUUUAUUCCAAUAAAAAUUGAAAUAAAUAUAAACCAGUUUCCAAAAUUAUCCAAACUUUUUUAUUUGACUGUUAUUAUACAUANNNNNNNNNNNNNNNNNNNNNNNNNNNNNNNNNNNNNNNNNNNNNNNNNNNNNNNNNNNNNNNNNNNNNNNNNNNNNNNNNNNNNNNNNNNNNNNNNNNNGGGGGUGCCGGAUUUUUGAGGGUAUUAAAGUGCCCUCUCUCUCUCUCCUAAUUCAAAUUAAAUAAUUUCCCUCUUCAAUUUUAUAAAACCAUAAUUUUUAUAAAAAUGAUUUUUUAUGUAAUUCUCUAUUUGUUUAAAGAUCUUGUUUUUAUCUAUUAAAUUAUGAUUAAUGUAUGAUAAUUUAAAUUUCUAUUUCAUUGGUAUAAUCCAUAAUUUGAUUAAUAAAAAUUUGAUAUUAGGAAGCUUAUAGCCAAAUUUUAUAAAGUUUUUAAGCUUUAAGAUUUAUAAAUUUGGAUUUUUGGCUCUUUAGGGUUUUUGGAAUAUUGUUUGAUAUUCACCAUCAUAUUGAAAUAUAAUUAGAAUAUUUUAAUUUAUUUUUAGGGUUUUACACCCUUUUUCAAUUGUAACAAAGUUUGAAGUUUCAUUCUAAUUAUAGUAUUGGCAUUUCCUAUUGUAGUUAAGCAACUUACUAGAAUCGUAAGUGUCAAGUAUAUUAGUCCUAGAUCUUAGUUGGAUCCUAGUUUAUGCAAGAUUUUGACCUAAUCUUUACUACUAGGCCAUGGCAUGUUGUGCAUGAAUGGUUUUUAUAAAGAUGCAUGAGUCCGAGAAUGACCUGAAUUGACAGUUGUCACAGUUAUGUGGGUUAGAUCUGAUCCCACAUCGGCUGGGAAGGAGAACUAAACAUUCCUUAUAAGGGGUGUGGAUAUCUUCCCUAACACAACACGUUUUAAAGCCGUGAGGGCAGUAGAUCCCAUAAGAACUCUGCAGUUAAGCGUGCUCGGGCGGGAGUAGUACCAGGAUGGGUGGCCCAAAGCGGACAAUAUUAUGAUACGUGCCAGAGGGGGAUGUUACAAAUGGUAUCAGAGCUAAACUUAUAGAGAACAUCGGUUUUUCUUUAAGAAAACACAACCUAUAACUAAAACUUACAAAGAAAUUCUUUUUACAUCAAACAUAUUACUAGUAUAAUUAGGUCGGGAGUUGUAUCAUUGGACCUCGAUUAAACAUAGCCUGAUCAUCUAUGUUUAAUUAAGGAAAGAUUUAUACAAAGCCUGAGCUAAUUAUAAUGGGAAUAUGUUCAACAAAAUUUUUGAGAAAACUUUAUUUCAAAAAUUCAAAAGGUUAAUUUUGGUGUGUAUAAGCAUUGCAUAUUAUAGGCACGCAUUGUCAUUUAUUUCAUAUCUCAUUAAAACUAUGUCUCAGUCCACUAUGUCAACAUCGUCAUCUUCCCGCGCUACCGCCUCAGCCGACGAGUCCGGCUACGUCACUAUUAUCCCUCGACGUAAUCCCCCCGCCUCGGUAGAAGAAGACCCAUCGGAGGACAUGGAAGAUACAGGAAACUCGGUGGAGAUCAGCAAUGACAACGCCCCGAGUCAACGACGCGAGGCAUCACCUGCAUCCGUGUUGCCACAGCCACCACUUUAUGGACUUCGCAUUCAGAGGACGGCGAGGAAGAGUGUUCCUAUUCCAGGAAGGAUAGCCACCAACACAGCAGGACUUUGAACGACAGGACCUAGCGGGGUAGGACCCAGCGUUGCAGGACCGAGAGCACCCCCAACACAACGAGUCAUAGGGAUACCUGUCAGGCAGCCAGGUAUGACCCCGGAGGAGUCCCGGAGACUGCAGGCGAUGGCAGCGGGCCUACGCCACAGUCUCGCUGUGAUAGCUGGACAUCAGGAGGUAUUGGAUGAAGUGAUGACAAGGAUGGAAAUCAUGUUUCAGCAUUUGAUGGAGGCUGCUGACACUGCUAGUGCUGCUAGACGAGAGGCAGGUCAUGCGAUGACCGCAUAUUAUGUGCUUGGAGGGCUAUUACUGAUUGUGGUGUUGAUGUUUCUUGUUGGGAUAGCGAUUGGCAUUUGGUUCUGAUUUCAGUAUUUUAUUUUAUUUUGUCAUGAAAUGAAAACCCAUGUUGGGUGUCUUUUGGGAAAAACAUUUAAAACUUUAUGUUGGGAUUGAUGUAUUGAUUUGGUUUUAAGAUUAUUUCAAAUGGUAAUGAAGAAUUUUAUUUUAUGUUUGAAAACUUUUACAAUGAGGUCAAACCCAAGAAUUUAUUUAGUCAAUGGUUUAAUAAAAAAAAGAAUUUUCUUUUUUCUUUCCUUUCUCAAAUCUAUAUGCAUAGUAUUAACGCAACCCAUUAAUUUGACAACACUUAUCGUUUUCAAAAUAGUAGUGAACUAAAUAUUAUACAUUAUUUUAUGUAUUUAUACGUAUUUCUACUCUUGUGUCAUAGAACCAUGUCAGGAAGGCCUAAUCGCGGGCGCCCACAGAACGAAACACCCGAUGUUGCUCAAGNGUAGCCCAACAACUCAUGGAAGCAAUCCCAAACAUUGUUACUCAUGUAACUGCAGGACUUAAUGCUAACCAAGGAAGUAGUGGAGGAAACCGGGGAAACAAUGAAAGAGAAUGCAACUACAAGUCCUUUAUGACCUGUAAACCUAAGGAGUUCCAUGGAAAGGAAGGUGCGGUCGGGUUGCUGAAAUGGAUUGACAGCAUGGAGUCGGUCCUUCACAUUAGCAAAUGCCUCGAGCGCAACAAAGUUGAGUAUGCAUCUUGCCUACUCCAAGAUAGGGCAUUGACCUGGCGGAAUACCCUAGUGCAAACCCGAGGCUGUACAGCGGCAUAUCAACUAACUUGGGAAGACCUAAAGAAGUUGCUGAUAGAGGAGUAUUGUCCCAAGGAUGAACUUCAGGAGCUUGAAUCUGAAUUCUGGAAGACCUCUUCGUGUUUCUCUUCCCAGAGAAAUUUUCUGUCCUUUUGGGUCAAAGAUGUUAAUGGUGGAGCAAUCCUAGAGAAAUUUUCAAUGAAACGUCUGUAGUACCCAGCUAAUCCUAGGAACUGUCGUAUUUCUGUCGGGGUUUUGGGGGCUUCCCAUUUCUUGAUUGCCUCGAUCUUAGCUGGAUCUACAUGAAUUCCUCUUUCGCCGAUCACAUGACCAAGAAAAUGUACUUCCCGAAUCCAAAAUUCACACUUAGUGAACUUGGCAUACAAUUUCUGCUCCUUCAACAGCUCCAACACUAGCUUCAGAUGUCUAUUGUGAUCUUCUUUGGUUUGCGAGUAAACAAGUAUGUCAUCGAUAAAUACAAUUACAAACUUGUCUAGGUAUGGUCUACAGACCCUAUUCAUCAAAUCCAUGAAAACAGCGGGUGCGUUUAUUAGUCCAAAAGGCAUGACUAAGAACUCAUAAUGUCCAUAACGAGUUCUAAAUGCUAUUUUGUGAAUGUCCCCUUCGUGAAUUCUUAGUUGAUGAUACCCUGACCGAAGGUCGAUUUUUGAGAAGUAAGAAACGCCCUGCAAUUGAUCGAACAAGUCAUCUAUUCGAGGGAGGGGAUAUCGAUUCUUGAUUGUCAACUUGUUCAGUUCUCUGUAAUCAAUACACAUUCGGAACGACCCGUCUUUCUUUUUGACGAAUAACACUGGGGCUCCCCAAGGUGAAGAGCUUGGUCGAAUAAACCCUUUGUCUAGAAGUUCUUGAAGUUGUCUGGAUAGUUCUUGCAUCUUGGAUGGUGUAAGGCGAUAUGGUGCUUUUGCUACCGGUGCCGCUCCGGGAAUUCAGUCUAUCCGAAAUUCGACCUGUCUGUGAGGGGGUAAACCGGGCAAUUCCUCCGGAAACACUUCGGGAUAAUUUUGAACCACUGGAAUCUCCUUGAGUCGCUUAGCUUCAGGUUCUCUUUCUAGCACGUGGGCCAUGAAUGCAAUACAAUUCUUCUUCAGGUAUUUGUGAAUCUUCAUGCUUGAUACUAUGUUUAAACAUCUUCCUGGCUUCUCACCGUGUAUGAUAAGGGUUUCUCCAUUAGGGAGAGGUACUCUAAUGACUUUCUCGUAACAACCAAUGUCCGCUCUAUUUUUGGAUAACCAAUCCAUUCCUACUAUCACAUCAAAACUACCUAGCUCUAUAGGAAUUAGGUCAAUGCUAAAGAGUUUAUCAGCUAAAUUCAAAGUACAACCAGGAAUUAUAUCAUUAGCCCUAAUUUCAUACCCAUCAGCAAGUUCAAUAGCAUAAGCAUUCCUCAUCUUUCUCAAUUUCAAGCCAAUUAAUGGUCUAAAUGCUAAAGAAACAAAACUCCUAUCUGCUCCCACAUCGAAUAUUACUGAUGCAAAAUGGUUGUUCAGGAGGAACGUACCUGUUAUCACUUCAGGGUUCUGACGAGCUUCUUCUGCACCAAUCACAAAGGCUACACCUCUUGACCGUCCAACUUGAUUUCCUUGGAAGUUUUGCCUGGCUUGGCCUUGUCCAUUGUUACCAGGCNCAAAAUGGUUGUUCAGGAGAAACGUACCUGUUAUCACUUCAGGGUUCUGACGAGCUUCUUCUGCACCAAUCACAAAGGCUACACCUCUUGGCCGUCCAACUUGAUUUCCUUGGAAGUUUUGCCUGGCUUGGCCUUGUCCAUUGCUACCAGGCCCUUUGUUCAGUUUGGGACAUGCCCUGCGGAGAUGAUCAAUCAGUACUCCCGCACUCGUAACAUGCCCUUUUUCCCUCCUUAUUCAGCUUACAAUACUUCGAGUAAUGGCCUGUUUGUUUACAGUUUUAGCACAUUGGGCACGCUCCCUUGUGAUGGAAGUUACACUUAUUGCACUUCGGAAGCGGUCUUGAGUACUGCUUUCUCUCCUGCACUUCCAUGACUUCCUGUUCUUGAGUUUUCAAUGGUUCUUGCUCCUGGGCUCUUACCAUAAAGUUUCUUGAGACUUUCAGCUUCCUCCCUGACUUGGCUCCAUACUUCUUCUCUCCCUGAUCUGUUGGCUUCCUCUUGCUACUAGAGUUUUCCUUUGUCGAUGCUCCCAUCCUUAUCACAUCAUUGGUUAGUCGAUUUGCUAGACUUACUGCACUCUGAAUAGUAGAUGGAUUUGCUAAGGUAACCAUUCCCCUAAUUUCUGGUGCCAGACUCCAGAUGUAACGAUCUAUCCGUUUCUCCUCAGGAGUAACCAUGUGAGGUACCAGUUUUGCUAGCUCAUGAAAUCGGACUGUGUACUUCUCUAUUUGUGUUCCAACCAUAGAAUGGCUCCAGAAUUUAGAUUCACGCUCCUGAAGUUCAUCCUUGGGACAAUACUCCUCUAUCAACAGCUUCUUUAGGUCUUCCCAAGUUAGUUGAUAUACUGCUGUACGGCCUCGGGUUUGCACUAGGGUAUUCCACCAGGUCAAUGCCCUAUCUUGGAGUAGGCAAGAUGCAUACUCAACUUUGUUGCGCUCGAGGCAUUUGCUAAUGUGAAGGACCGACUCCAUGCUGUCAAUCCAUUUCAGCAACCCGACCGCACCUUCCUUUCCAUGGAACUCCUUAGGUUUACAGGUCAUAAAGGACUUGUAGUUGCAUUCUCUUUCAUUGUUUCCCCGGUUUCCUCCACUACUUCCUUGGUUAGCAUUAAGUCCUGCAGUUACUUGAGUAACAAUGUUUGGGAUUGCUUCCAUGAGUUGUUGGGCUACAACUUGAGCAACAUCGGGUGUUUCGUUCUGUGGGCGCCCGCGAUUAGGCCUUCCUGACAUGGUUCUAUGACACAAGAGUAGAAAUACGUAUAAAUACAUAAAAUAAUGUAUAAUAUUUAAUUCACUACUAUUUUGAAAACGAUAAGUGUUGUCAAAUUAAUGGGUUGCAUUAAUACUAUGCAUAUAGAUUUGAGAAAGGAAAGCAAAAAGAAAAAUCUUUUUUUUAUUAAACCAUUGACUAAAUAAAUUCUUGGGUUUGACCUCAUUGUAAAAGUUUUCAAACAUAAAAUAAAAUUCUUCAUUACCAUUUGAAAUAAUCUUAAAACCAAAUCAAUACAUCAAUCCCAACAUAAAGUUUUAAAUGUUUUUCCCAAAAGACACCCAACAUGGGUUUUCAUUUCAUGACAAAAUAAAAUAAAAUACUGAAAUCAGAACCAAAUGCCAAUCGCUAUCCCAACAAGAAACAUCAACACCACAAUCAGUAAUAGCCCUCCAAGCACAUAAUAUGCGGUCAUCGCAUGACCUGCCUCUCGUCUAGCAGCACUAGCAGUGUCAGCAGCCUCCAUCGAAUGCUGAUACAGGAUUUCCAUCCUUGUCAACACUUCAUCCAAAACUUCCCGAUGCCCAGCUAUCACAGCGAGACUGUGACGUAGGCCCGCUGCUAUCGACUGCAAUCUCCGGGACUCCUCCGGGGUCAUACCUGGCUGCCUGACAGGUAUCCCUAUGACUCGCUGUGGUGGGGGUGCUCUCGGUCCUGCAACGCUGGGUCCUACCCCGCUAGGUCCUGNNNNNNNNNNNNNNNNNNNNNNNNNNNNNNNNNNNNNNNNNNNNNNNNNNNNNNNNNNNNNNNNNNNNNNNNNNNNNNNNNNNNNNNNNNNNNNNNNNNNNNNNNNNNNNNNNNNNNNNNNNNNNNNNNNNNNNNNNNNNNNNNNNNNNNNNNNNNNNNNNNNNNNNNNNNNNNNNNNNNNNNNNNNNNNNNNNNNNNNNNNNNNNNNNNNNNNNNNNNNNNNNNNNNNNNNNNNNNNNNNNNNNNNNNNNNNNNNNNNNNNNNNNNNNNNNNNNNNNNNNNNNNNNNNNNNNNNNNNNNNNNNNNNNNNNNNNNNNNNNNNNNNNNNNNNNNNNNNNNNNNNNNNNNNNNNNNNNNNNNNNNNNNNNNNNNNNNNNNNNNNNNNNNNNNNNNNNNNNNNNNNNNNNNNNNNNNNNNNNNNNNNNNNNNNNNNNNNNNNNNNNNNNNNNNNNNNNNNNNNNNNNNNNNNNNNNNNNNNNNNNNNNNNNNNNNNNNNNNNNNNNNNNNNNNNNNNNNNNNNNNNNNNNNNNNNNNNNNNNNNNNNNNNNNNNNNNNNNNNNNNNNNNNNNNNNNNNNNNNNNNNNNNNNNNNNNNNNNNNNNNNNNNNNNNNNNNNNNNNNNNNNNNNNNNNNNNNNNNNNNNNNNNNNNNNNNNNNNNNNNNNNNNNNNNNNNNNNNNNNNNNNNNNNNNNNNNNNNNNNNNNNNNNNNNNNNNNNNNNNNNNNNNNNNNNNNNNNNNNNNNNNNNNNNNNNNNNNNNNNNNNNNNNNNNNNNNNNNNNNNNNNNNNNNNNNNNNNNNNNNNNNNNNNNNNNNNNNNNNNNNNNNNNNNNNNNNNNNNNNNNNNNNNNNNNNNNNNNNNNNNNNNNNNNNNNNNNNNNNNNNNNNNNNNNNNNNNNNNNNNNNNNNNNNNNNNNNNNNNNNNNNNNNNNNNNNNNNNNNNNNNNNNNNNNNNNNNNNNNNNNNNNNNNNNNNNNNNNNNNNNNNNNNNNNNNNNNNNNNNNNNNNNNNNNNNNNNNNNNNNNNNNNNNNNNNNNNNNNNNNNNNNNNNNNNNNNNNNNNNNNNNNNNNNNNNNNNNNNNNNNNNNNNNNNNNNNNNNNNNNNNNNNNNNNNNNNNNNNNNNNNNNNNNNNNNNNNNNNNNNNNNNNNNNNNNNNNNNNNNNNNNNNNNNNNNNNNNNNNNNNNNNNNNNNNNNNNNNNNNNNNNNNNNNNNNNNNNNNNNNNNNNNNNNNNNNNNNNNNNNNNNNNNNNNNNNNNNNNNNNNNNNNNNNNNNNNNNNNNNNNNNNNNNNNNNNNNNNNNNNNNNNNNNNNNNNNNNNNNNNNNNNNNNNNNNNNNNNNNNNNNNNNNNNNNNNNNNNNNNNNNNNNNNNNNNNNNNNNNNNNNNNNNNNNNNNNNNNNNNNNNNNNNCCUACACUCUUCCACUUCUCUCUUCACUCCUUCUCCAAAAAACUCUCCCACUUCCAAGACCACUCCUACACAUCAGAAAAUAUUCACUCUCUGCCAUAAUUUCGAAAUAGAGAAGGCCUUGAAGUGUUCUUGCUUCUCUCAAGAUCAAAACCAAGGUAAACAACACAAUCCUCCCUCAUAGUUUCAUGAUUUUACUUCCUCUUCUUCAUGGUUCUUCUCUACUCUUCGGAUUCUAUGCCUUUCCAUGGCUAGAAAUCCUUACUUUUUCCCUUGUGGUUUGUAGAUUCUCACCAUAACACAAUGCAUGUGUUUGAGAUGGUGAAAAUCUGGGAUCAAACCCAUGCAAGGAGUGAAAAAGAUGCACAUGUGUUCAUGUGACUUCAAAACCGAGUAUUACAUCUUCUUCUCCGUUUCUUUUGUGUUCUUGCAUGACCAAAAGCAUUUAAACCAUUUCUAGUACAUCUUGGAUGCUCAUUCACUCCAUGCAUGUGCUAUAAAUCGGACCUUAACAGAAGCAUGCAUGUUGUUCUUGUCAAAACGCCCUAAGAAUGCACUCAAAGCAAACAGGGAAGACAUGCAAUCUGCCAGACUACUUUGUUCAGCUUUGAACGGCCAUAACUCGGUCAUUACUUAUCCAAAUCCUGAUAUUCUUUUUGUAUUGGAUAGUUUCACGAGUUAACUUUCAAACCCAACUGGUCUCACUGUAAAAUAUUAAAUAUCGGAUUUUUGGCAAUUUUUACAAAAUGGUUGCGCGAACAGCUCUUUUUCUGUGAUCACCAUUUUUGCCUUGCGUGACCAGUGGCCUUAAACCCAACCAUAAAUUUGGGGAAAAAUAAUUUAGAAACUUAACAUAUCCAGUGAAUGAUGGCUGAAAUUUCGUGGCUUAAAACCCCACAGAAUGUGCUACUCAAAUUCAUGAAUUUCAGCCACAUUUACAUCUCAUGCACUAUAAUGUGCAACAUUUCUUAACUUGUUUGGGUUCAAUACCCCUAUUUUCCCUUCUGAAUAAAAUUUGAACAUUUUUCCUUUUGAAAGCCCUCACAUGCAUGUGAUAAUCUGGAAAAUUUCUAGAGCUUUUAUCAUUUCUUUGAUUUAUUAAAAUUAUUGCAAGAAACCAAGGACAUAAAUCACAUAAAAUACUUCCAGAGGUCUAUAAAUCCGGAAUAGAUUCAUGGAUGACCCCUAUGGUGAAUAAUGACCCCUCACUAAAUUUCAUCAAUUUUUGUUGCUGUUUGGUAUGAUUUCCGAUUUUCUUUUUGUUUGGGUAUAAUAAAUCACAAAACCACUUUAGAGAGUGUGAAAAUUGUAUCUAACAAUUUUCGCAGCCCUUACCUGUGGUGGGUGACUCAGAAAAACAAUUUCAAAUUUUUUUUGAUCAUGCCUUACUAUUUUUCUCCAUUUUUGGUAAUUAUAAUGGCCUAAAAAUAGGAAAAAUAGUUCUGAUUAUCCAAAAUUCAUGAAAAUUUACCAGAACAUCAUGUUGUACAGUAGGAGGUUACAUACAAAUUUUGAUGAUUUUUCUCUACUGUAAACUAUUUGUCUCCUAUUUUCUAAGGUUAAAUACACUGAAAUACACAUAAAUACCCAAAACCGGAUUAUACAAUAUGAAAACCACUUUUGGUAUUUUUUCCAGAUUAAUUACACUGUAAAUGAUGUUACAAAAGUUUUUGGUAAUUUAUUUUAACUGUUUAAUAUUAUUUCUUCAAUUAAUGAUUAUUUAAAGGAAUAAAACAAGGAAAAAUAGAAAUACCCACUGAAAAAUAUCUUUUAUAUUUUUCCCAGCCUAGUUAUGUAUAAUAACAGUCAAAUAAAAAAGUUUGGAUAAUUUUGGAAUCUGGUUUAUAUUUAUUUCAAUUUUUAUUGGAUUAAAUGCUCAAAAAUCAUAAAAUAUAAUUAAACAGCUUGGAAAUCCAUUUUUAUAUUAUUCCCAGCUUAGUAUUGUGUAAUAACAGUUAAAUAAAAAUUUUGAAAAUUUUUAUCCUUUGAAUGCUAUUUUUCGUGAAUUUAUGUUGUUAUAAAGACUUAAAACUUUGAAAAAGUGUAACUAAUUAAUAUAAAAUCCAAUACUAAAACAUAAAUUGGCAUUUCACUAUGUGUAGAGUUUAGUAUAUUAGCAUUAAAUUACGACAUGGAAACUCACUAGUGUGUGUUUGAUGUCAUAGGGUCCCGGUAGUAAGACAUUGGUGUAUCCCGAGGCACUACUUGUACCUACACGAAACAUUGUGAGUAUUCACGCACUCCCCUGUUUUCGGUUUUUAAAUGUUUUGGGGUGGAAAAACAUGUCCUACUACCUCAUAAAUCGCAUGCCCAGUCGUACUAUAGACAACUAAACACCCAUCACACAUCUUUUAAAAAUAAAACAUGGUUACUCCUUUCUAGGCAAUUUUGGUUGUGCUUGUUGGCCAAGUCUUAAAAAAUAUAAUUCUCAUAAUCUUGAGUUCCGAUCAAAAUUGUGUAUCUUUCUUGGUUACAGCUCAAUGAAUAACGAGUACAAAUGUUUAGAUAAAAGUAUCAGACGUGUCUAUAUAUCACGAGAUGUAAUUUUUGAUGAAUCUCUAUUCCCAUUUGCAAGCUCAUCCUCCUACACCUUACCAUCUUCUACAUCCAAAGUUAUGACGUUUUCUCAAUUUGAACUGAAAAUUUUAAUGAUCAUAUGAGAAAUUAUGACUUAUCUAUGUUAUUGUCUAACAAUUCUAAUGCACGUGUAGACCGUUAGCACCUAUUCGAAUUUUUGACACAACUAGCAAUGGUGGCUUAUAUGCAAAACAACCAAUACAGGUGAUUCCUGGACCAAAUCAGCAAGACUUUGAAAUCAAUUCUACUGAUGCGACAACCAUAACCACAAACAAAGUUGUACCCACUCAUACCACAAGAACCACUACUAAUGAUGACACCACAACAGAUGUUGUAGGUGAUGCCACAUCUGCUUUCGUUAAUGACGUCUCCCCACAUGUAUCCACUCCGUCUCCAUCAUUCAUCACAACGCAUGUUUGUGCAUGAAUUUUUCCUCAAAAUUUCAAUGAUGGAACCAUCUCCUAUGAUCCUAAUAGAUGCACUUUUUUGUUGUUAAUAACUUCGUAUCGGCUAGCCCUCUCUAAGCUAGCAUGUUAUAAAUCCAGGGAGGCUGAAUUUGAUGCACUCCAGGAAAAUAACACAUAGGCUCUUGUUCCUUGACCACUUGGUGUUAAUUUGGUUAGUUAUAAAUGGGUUUUUGUAACAUCUAAAAAUCAUGAUAAAUUUUUUCAAGUUAAUUUAAAAGAAACCAUUGCUUUCAACCCAUAACUAUAUCAAAUCAAAUGUCAAAUACAAAUAGUCCCCAAGAUCAGAACAUCAUAAAAUCUCCCAAAAUGUAUCUUCGAAGGAUGCGUACGAUCACACCUUUGCCUUGCCACGAUCAUUUGAAGUACCUGAAACAAUAAACUGAAACUAUAAGCCAAAGCUUAGUGAGUUCCCCUAAAGUACCACAUAACACAACUCANGUACAUUUCCCCAAAUUACCACCACACAAACAAAUAACAUAUACAAUAAUGCAUGUUGGGUCCACAAUCUCCCAAUUGGCUUGACCUGGCCCACAACUUCCGGUUGGAUUGUGUUGUAUAUAUAAUGUACUAGUUCCACAACCUCCCGAUUGGAUUAUCAUGCCCCACAAGCUCCCGGUUGGAUUUCCCUAGCCCAUAACCUCCCGAUUGGAUUGCCUCGGGUUUGAUAAAUAACCGCACAAUGAAGUACAGUCUCAACCUAUGCUAUAAAUAGCGCGUUAUAGCGGUGCUAUAGCAGCAUUAUAACGUUUUUGCGGUGUUACUGAACCGCUAUUUUGAAAGAGCGUUUACGAAUAGCGGUGACGCUAUUAGCGGCGAUAUUGACCGCUAUUUACCGCGAAUCUCAUCAGCGCUAUAGCGGCGCUACAACCGCUUUUACAUUUUCGUACAUAUUGGGCUACAUUGACAAAGAAAAAAAACGAUUGUGUGUUAUUUCAAUAUUAAAUCUUUAUUUUUUUUAACUAGUUCACUAAACUUUUUUUCUUAAUAAGUCCAAAUAAUGAAUAUAAAUAAUUACAAACUACAAAGCAACAAAUGACAACUUCCCUUUCUCAUCUUUUUCAGUACCUAGAAACCACGAAUGACUUAAGCUGCGAUGACAUUUUGACACUUUCUAGUUUCCAUAUUAGUAUAUUAGAAUAUUAUAUAUAGAAUAUGUUAUGUUCUUAUAUGAUUUUUAUGAUAUUAAUUCUACAUAGUAUUCAUAAUCUAAUAUAUAAAGUUUUUAUAAAUAUAUAAUAUAAAAUAUACAUAAAAUUAAGAAACUGCUAUACCACUGCUAUACCACCACGAUAACCGCGAUUUCAAAUAGCGGCAUGUGACCGCUAUUGAAAUUUCAACCGCGAUAACUGCUUAGGUCUCAAACCAACCAUAUUAUGUCGACAUAUAACAUAUAUUCAAUAAACAGAUAAUCAUAUAAUCAAUCAAUAGACUCACAGGCGGAUUUACAAAUCAUGACCUCAUAACUACAUCCUAUAUACUAGGACUUAGUUCUAUAAGAUUAAUAUAACAUACCAACAUCCUCAAAACCAGUAUACAUAACUUAGUGGGCAGGCAUUCAUAACUUAGUGGGCAGGCAUCGGUGCCUUCGACCCACAAGUAUAGUGAGGAAACUCACCUCUCAUUCUGAAAAGAGCGUUGAACAGGAUAUAAAUCUAAAUGUUAGUUCAACCGGUCACCUAAUCAUCAAAUAAUGACCAAUCUCAAAUACCACUAAAAAUACCCACAAUACCCUUAGGUCAGACUUAGUCAAACCCUGUUCAAGGUCAAAGAGUCAAAAAGUAAACCGAUUUGACUCAAGCUGAGUUGUCCCGAUGUACUCAACUAUUAUGCCCAAUGUACUCAUUAUUCAGCAUCGAGGGCUUAAGGGAGUACGCACAAUGUACUCUGAAGUACGCCCAACGUACUCCGCAGCCAACUUUUCCCUUUUUGACGGGCUUAAUCCAUUAAUACUCUUCCUUCCAAACACAGAUCUAGGCUUAAAACAAUGCUAUUAGUCAUAAAGUUUCCACCUUUAUGACCCUCCAUGGCUAGACAAGGCCUCAAAGCUAAAACCCUAACUUCUUAUCCCAUUAAGACAUUUCAAUACUUGUGUGGAGGGAAGGAGGUCCAAGAUCACAUUUUAUCACUCAAACUACCCAAAAACGUACAAAGGACAACUCAUUUGGUCAGGGUGGCUCAUACCCAAAUGGACCAAGAUUAUGGGGCUAAUAAGCAUAAACAUCUAAAAUAUCUAGAUCUAGGGGUAUGAUCAUCAAGUUCAGAACUUUAUACCUCAAAAUGAAACUUGGAGGUGAGGUGUUUCAGGAUCUAAGUGAUAUUGAUCAUCCAAGGUGGUUCUUUAAUCUUUACUCGGCUUCAAAGACACCAAAACCCACACUUUCAAGCUUCAAAUGAACACACAAGAGAUUUGGGUUUUCUAUGGACGAAAUGAGGGAUGGAGGCUGAUGAGGGAAUGAGCCUUGGUGAGUUAAUGAUGUUUGUAUAGGGUCCAAACCAGAGAUGUUAUGGUUUGAGGUUCUGGCGGCACGUACGCCCAACAUACGCGAGCUCCGCCCAAAAAAUUACAAAAAUGCCACUUUGGGACAUUGUGUAACAAUUUCUCACACAAGGGCUAAAAUGUAAAUAGUUCUCAUACUUAGGGUUAAAAAUGGAAAUACCUCAGCUUCAUGAUAUUACAAUUUUCAAGCUUAAAGACAUCUAUACGGUACUAUUGAAAAGCUUAAGGCACGUCUAGUGGCUUAUGGUUCCAUUCAACAAUAUAAUAUUGAUUAUCAAGAAACUCUCAGCCCAUUCGUGAAACCUGCUAGCGUUUGAAUUCUCUUAUUGGCAGUUUCUCGAGGUUGGUAUCUUCAAGAGAUUGAUGUCACCAAUGCCUUUCUUCAUGGGUUAUUAAAUAAAGAAGUAUAUAUGCAGUAAUCACCAGGAUUUGAAGAUUCUCAACGACCUCAAUAUGUGUGCAAAUUAAAGAAGGCAAUUUAUGGUCUAAAAUAAUCUUCACGUGCCUAUAUAUAGGAAAAUAUUAUGAGUAGUGCCAUUACUCUUCAUCAACACAUGAGUAUCAAUAAUGGAUCCACUCUUGAGAUUCAUUUCAUCUUUGUCAGCUUUAACAUUAGGAUUCCAUACUAUUGCAAAACCAUUAAUGAUUGUAACGUCCGCAUUUCUCGCUAAGCAUAGUUAUGAGUCUGUAUAUAUGUUGUUCGCCGAUUGGAACCUCUAUGAAUUAAUGAAAGAGAGUUAUAUAUAUAUAUAUAUAUGUGUGUGUGUGUGUGUGUGUGUGUGUAUGUGAAUUUUAUAGAUAUUACAUGUAUAUAAUAUUUAUGUAAAACGCUAAUUUGAAGCUUAAAUGAAAAAAGUCUAAAAUAGAAAUUAAAAAUAAAAUAUUAUUUAAGAUAAAUGAUCAAAAAAUUGUAGUAAUAAAAAAAGCAAAUUUGUGCAUAUAAAAAACGCCUAAAUCUGAAUUCGUGUGAGGAAAUUAUAAUUUUUGAAGUUUCAGCGUAACAGUGUGUGACACAGAAACCAAAAUUAAAAUUAGACGAUUGUUAGGAAAAACAAUCUAAACGACAAUCGAAGAUCUCGUGAAUAGGAAUCCAUCGAUUUAAAAACAGUCUAGAACAGAGGUCGUAAGAGAGACUUAUGAUUUUUAUGUGGACUUUAACAGUCUAAGCAUGUUAAAAAUAUAACUUUAAAAAUAAAUUGAGAAUUAUCUAAUGGAUUCUAAAUGAAAGUUGUAGUGCUUAUCGAUAGCUACAUGUGGAUAUAAAGAAUGUCAAAAACGGAGCCCGUAGAAAGAAUAUAUUAAUAUUUGAAAAAAAUCGCAUGUGCCGACACGGUGUGCGAUGAACACUAACAACCCACCCAAAAUUUGACACGUGACGACCUCUGACUAGAACCACGCCAACACCCCUGACCAGAUGCAUGACAUGCCUAGACAAGGUGCACGACAUGCCCCUUUUCCCAACUAUACAUUGGAGUCGUUUUCAGCCUAUUUCUUCACUCCUUUCUGCCCCAAUCCUCUGGAAUCUCUUCCACCCCCUAGUCCCUAUACUUUCUAGUUCUCAACUACUUUAGCGAGGCCCCGCGAUAUCAAAGAGCCAGAGAAAUAGAAGUUCUCAGGUUGCACUUAACCCUGCGCAAUUACCAACUCUCAUUAGAAAACUCUAUAAGUUAAGUUGCAUGCACUUAUCUUAAUUCAAGUGUAACAUUUUCUAAACGUUAUUAUGAACCUAUAAAUAAGAUUUAUUAUUGAUUCCAAAUCAUGAUACUGAUUGAUCUGGAAGAGAGGAGAUGACUCUAAUGUAAAUUGGAUCAUCUCUUGCUUUGAGAACUUUCUUUCGGAAAUUCUUAAUGGUUUCUAUCAUACUGGUUGGGAAGAACUUUAAUUCUUGCAAAUUGCAGCUUGGAUAGAUGUUGUCUAUUAAUCCUGCCGAAAAGGCUUGUUGGAUUAAUCUUGGAUCUGCUCCUUCAAGGAAGUUGUACAGACUUUUGGUUUUCUUAUCUGUUGUGAAAAAUCUUUUGUGGAUAAAAUCUUUUGGGCUUUCCGCUCUAGCUUUACUCCAGAUUGUUCUGAAAUCUUCAAAGGAGAUUGCAGGGUUGUUGACUUCAUAUUCGACGUCAUUUGGGAUAUCAGCUCUUUGGUAUCUGUGUUCUUCUUUGAUCUUCUGGACUUUCGGCUUUAGAAGAGGUUUUUUGGUUUGAUUGGCUUCGUCAUUGAAGGUGGCAAAACUAAGUCGUGCACUUGUUUCAUUUCUGAACUUCUUGCAUGUUACUUUAUCGACCUUACAUAAGGUUUAUGUAAUUCCCCAGUCUGUAUGUAUUCCGGCGUGUGGCUCAAAAGACAGACUUAGGUAGCUCAAAAGACUCCUAGAAGAUUGAUAUCUUUAGGAAGGAGAAAAAAUGAAAGAAAAAGUCUCCGAGCAACUCGAGAAAUAUUUCUUUAAUCUUCAGUAUGAAGACUAUGAUAAACUUGACCAAAAACUCAUUCAACUUUCAUCCUUGGAAACUGAAGAAUGCGAAGAACUAUAUCAAAAAGAGCCACAACUUUUUGAUCAAUACUUUAAAGUAGCCAAAGUAAAUGAACCUGGUACCGAAUCAGAACAAGAAGAAAAUCCUAACAUAAACGCUGUCAAGUCUACUUACGGGAGUGAUGUCUAGGCUGGAUUUAGUGAGGUGUUUAAAGUGAGAUUUCCAAAAAGUAUACUUUGUAUACCAAACAGGCCCUAUCUCUGAUAUGAUCCUACCUGGUUAUUCCUUACUUGAUAGAUCUUGAUAUAGACAUCGGUAUUCUUGAGGAAUCUAGACUAUCAUUAUUAUAGUCACAAGAAAUGUGAAACUAAACUAAGACUUAGCACUAUAUAAAUCUAGGUUUAUUGAAAGGAUAAGGUGAUAGGUGAAGCGCUGCCCUAACCUCAAACCACCCACCCUUGUCAGGUGAGUGUAUAGUUACUUUCAAGUGCAUAAUUUAAUAAAAGUCUUUAUUAAAUGCUAAUUGUAAUAAUUAUACUAUGUGUUAUUUGUAUAACAAUAAUAGUACUGCUUGAUUAGGAUUUGUAUUGGAAGUAGAAUGACUUUAACUAUAGCCUUGUUUAGCUAUGAAAAUAAGGCUUAUAAAGGAUGCCUAGCUCAAAUUAAGCAGAAUGUCGAAUAGGUCUCAUCCUGGGGUAGAGUGUGAGAUCAAUGCGAAGUGUAGUAGUCCUCCUCUUUUUGGAUGACGAGAAAUGGUUGGUCCAGAUCAAACAACCGACAGGUACGUUUUGGUCAUCGAUCAGAGUGGAUGACAAUACUUGACUAGUCUAGGCGGUCUAUUGAAUUACGUUGCUAAUGUGUAGUCAAACAGUUGCUCAGAUGAUUAAUCAGGUAAGGUGAUUCUUUUAGAUGGCCGUCGGAUUAGGAUUUGUGAAAAUCGAUUGAGCAAGGUAGAUGAUCUUACAUCAGAUUAUAUACAUCUAUAUUAUUUGGCAAAUGUUUUUUUUGCAAGAAUGUUAUUAUGAAUUAUUAUCAUUAAAAUAUUACGAGCUUGAAAACCAAUGCAUCUCACUAGGUUUCCUAAACCUGACCCACUCAAUUUAGAUGUAUCACAAUUCACAAGUAACGAAACUAAGGAUGCUGGAAACUAAUUAUGAUGCUGAGUAAAAUAAGAGAUGAACCUAUAUUAGUAUUUUAGGACCUUCUUAUUUAUGUUGUAACGUAUGUUUGGAUAUUAAUUGUGACAUCAUUGGUAUUUUUAAUAUAAUGAAAUAACUUAUGUUAUCUCAAAAAUGUUUUAAUUAAACUUAGAUUUUCCGCAACACAAUAACUUAAAGCGUAAAUAAAAAGUUUUAAUGUAACACCUGCAAAAUUCACGCCAAUUUAAAACUUUUCAAAACAUUUAAAACCAGCAGUUAUUACAAAUUCAUUUUCAGAAUAGUCUAAUAUCAGAGUUUUCCCAGAAACAUAAACAAAACAUGAGGAGCUGUACGAUCAUGCCUUCGCCUUGCUGUGAUCCCCUGAUGUACCUGAAACAAUAAACUGAAACUGUAAGCAAGAGGCUUAGUGAGUUCCCCCCAAAAUAUCAAUACACUGCACAUAACACAUAUACAAAUAACAGCAUGUGCUGGGUCCACAACUCUACAGACUGGAUUACCCAUGGGCCCACAAUGUGAGUCUAGAUUGCCUUCCGGGCCCAUAGCUCACAUCUGGAUUGCCACCGAGUCCAUAGUACGAGUCUCCCUCAGCUCGUAUCUGGAAUGCUCCUGAUCCCACAAUACGAGUCUGACAUGCCCCACCUGGCCCUCAGCUCGUAUCUGGAAUGCUCCCGGGUUUGUUGGUUACUGCACGGAGCAAUAUCACCUCAACCCACCCCACAUAAUAUGUCGACAUAUAACAUAACUAAGACGCAUACAGAUAAUCACGUAAUACUAUAGGUAGUCCUACAUAUCUACCUAAUUGGCAUAACAACUAGAAUGCAACACUAACUCAUACUCAACAUACUAUCAACUUGUAGGAAAUCAUAUCCCAUGGGCCGACCUUGGUGCCUUCGACCAUUUAGUAUAGUGAGGUAACUCACCUCGCAAGUAGUGCUGAAAUACUACAAAUCUCUGGCUGCUGUCUCACCGGGAAUCCCGAAUUGUCACAUAAUAAUAAAUACCAGGUUAAUACCUAACAUUACUCCCUUGACUAAGUGUCCUCAUAACUCAUUAAGUCCAUUCCCUUUUGUUGGGCCAAAACCCAACACCAAGUCCUUAACUUGACAGUCCAUAUACAUAAAUCCAAUAUUGGCCCAAUUUACUAAAUUGGGCCCAACCUCCUUAUUGGGCCUAACCCCAUGAUCCACUACCGCCAAUUGGCCCAAAACAUCUUAUUUACAAAGUUCAGCAAAGGCCCAAAUCUAGUUAGUCCAUAAAUAGCCCAAAACCUGAAGCCCAUUUGCCAAUGGCCCAACGGAGGACGUACGCGGGGCGUACUCCUCUGGUACGUGGGGCGUACUCAUCCAGACGUUGACCACCAUCGGGGUGGUUGACCCAGUACGCUGGCCGUACUGGAUUUACGCUGGGUAUACUGGACAGUUUGCCAAAACCUUGUUAAGUGCUUAAUGGCUUAAGCACUUAAGCCCAAACUUCAGAUCCAGAGAUCUAUCAUGCCUAGGAUCCAUAAAGUCGUGAACUUUAUCACUUUGGACAUCCAUAAAGUUCUAAAUGCUUGGUCUUAAUCCAUUAAGACCUUAUCCUUCCAUGCAUGGGACACCUUCAGCUAAUGGGACCUCAUUUUUAUCACUCAAGGUCCCUUCAAGAGUCUAGAAGGACAGUCCUUUUCGUUCAAAACACAACAUGCACCACCUUGUGAUUUUUGGGACAAGAAAUGGGUCUUUUAAAGCAAAAUGGAGAGAUCUAAUCAUAUAAACAUAAAGUUUGGAACUUUAUACCUUCUGGAGCUUCUUGGGGCUUCUUGUGCACGAGCUAACUUCAGAUUUACUAGCUUGGUUUCUUCCUUCAACUCUUUGAUGCAAUGGUUUCCUCUUAAGGCACUCAAGAACACACCAAAAUGAGCUUAACACACAAAGGGGAGGCUAGGGUUUGAGAGAGACGAGUUUGAUCUGUGGAGGCUGGGGUAAAAGAGGUGUUGGUGCACAUUAUGUUGCUUAUAUAGGCUCCAAACCCUAAAUAUUAGGGUUUCACCCAGAUAGUAGUACACCCAACGUACUCAAGUGUACGCCCAUCGUACUAAGGAAAACCUUAAUACGCUUAGCGUACUCUUAUGUACGCGCAACGUACUCCUUUUUGGCCCAAGUUUGCAAACUUGAUCCUUAAACUUAUCUUGGCUCUUCACUUCCAACCCCAAGCACCAUAAAUGACAAGGUAAUGAUAGAAGAGGGUUCAGGAAUACCUACUAAAUUCUCGGGAUGUUACAUUUAAUUCGUUCUGAAAUUUUGGGGAUGUAACAACGACGUCCUUAGUUUCCAACAAUAACUGAUCAACAAGUAUUCCUCUGUUUUUUAACCUAAUUUUCCCUUUUGAAUUUGUAAGUUUGUAAACAUUUUUUUGAAGCCGUAAUAAAGGUAUUCAACGAUCUAACACUACACUUCUAAGUCUAUAUACAAAUGUUGAUUGUGCUGGAUGUCUAGAUUAUCGCAGGUCUACCGGAGGUUUUACUGUAUUUCUAGGGCCAAAUUUGAUUUCUUGGAGUUCUUGCAAGGAACCCAUCGUAUCAAGAUAAAGUACAGAAGUUGAAUACAAGGAUCUUGCAAAUGGUACAACAGAAGCAACAUGGGUGCAAUCUUUUCUUAAAGAAUUGGGAGGUCAAUAGUUACAACCACCAAUAUUAUGGUGUGAUAAUCUAGGAGCUACUUAUCUAACAGUCAAUUAUGUGUUUCAUGCACGUACGAUACAUAUAGAAGUGAAUUCCAAUUUUGUCAGAGAGAGUUGUAAUGGGCGCUCUUGAUGUUCGUUUUAUAGCCUCUAGUAAUGGUAGGUAUCAGAUGGAUUCAUAAAGCCAGCAACUUGGAACAUGUUAGAUUGUCUGAGAUACAAUUUGGACCUAAUCGCGGUUAAGACUGGAGGGAAUGUAAACAUGGUACUUAAUGUUGGUGAUUUUAGUGUCACCAUGUCAUUUUAAGUAACUGGAACUAACAUGUGAGCUAAGGGGCUUCAUAAUUUGUAUUCUAAUAUAUGUACGAGAUUGUGUGGAGUGCACGCAUGUAUAAGAUCGAAUUAGAAGUCUGUUCGACGACUAGUCGGGGGUCCGGGGGCAGCGUCCUUGGGUCCAGGGUUUCCAAAGGGAUAGCGCCCCGCCCCUAGCGGGGUCCAAGGGGUAGAUCCCCUGGCUCGAAACAUAGUGGAAAAUUCAAUUUCUUAAGGGUGAUUAUGGUAAAACUAACGAAACUCGUUAGUUUUGGUAACCUUAAAUCCUCAUUAAAUCCGGAUUGUUAUGACUUGCUUCCAUAGCAACUAAUGACGGCCCAACCCUAAUGAAACCCUAAUCUCAUUUAAUAUAUAAACAACUCUUCCUCUUCAGAAGUGGGUUACAAUCUUAAGCUCUCGUUUUUCAUCAUACUUUCACAAAAUUCUCUAGCAUAUUGGCUUAUGUUGUGACAACCCAGAAUUUUCAUUCGGUCAAACCCUAAAAGUCAAUAACUUCAUAUUAUAAGUAAUGUUCACUUUUACUUGUUUUUAGGAAAAAUAAGUUCAUUUGAUUAUUUUAAUAAUAAAUCUUUAAAACGAACGGGUGAACGGAUGUGCCGUCUCGGGUCUCGAAUUUUCUAAACCGCGAAUGCCACGUAGCUUAGAAGUUCACGACCAAAAUUUUAUGUUUGGGUCAUAAACUACCCCCAAAAAACGUAAACUCAUGCCUUAAGCAUGAGUUUACUCCCCAAAGUGCAACACUUUUCAUUUUCACCCUAAAAGAGUAAACUCAAAACACCCUCAAGUAUCAUCCAAGAUUUAAUUCAAGAUCUUCAAACUUGUAAGUGUUCUAGCCAUUUCAAGUUGGUAUAACACUUAAUCUAGUGAUUGUACAUCUUUUCAUCAAUCCAUUUUUGUGUUUUGAUUAGAUUUCCAAAAACACCAAGAACACACACUAAGUGUUCUUGGACUUUUAGCUCAUUUCAAGCUUCCUUAUAGUAAGUACUUCCAUCCUUGAGUCUUAUUAAGCUUGUAUUACAUGUUAGCAUCAAAGAAAAGUCCCAAGAACACCAAGAUCAAGGUGUUCACGGUUUUGGGAGGCUCCUAAAACCGUAAACACCAAAUAUGGUGCAAAGUGGUGCCUUAGAGUGCCUAGAUGCUUCAUAAUGCCUAAGGGACUUGUCUAGAUUCAUCCUUGAUGAGUUUAUCACACAAAAAGCACCAAAACCUUACAUUUUUAUGUGUUUACGGUUUGGGGAUCUCCCAAAACCGUAAACACCCCAAAAGGUGUAUAAAAGUCCCAUAAAAGUCCCAUGGUUAUUCCUUAUGUCUAAAUCUAACCUAGACUAUUGCCAUGAUUGAGCUAAGGACUUGAAAACCCCCAAAACCAUAAACUUAUGGGUUUAAGGUAGUAAACUCAUGAGUUUAAGGUAGUAAACUCAAAGGAAAACGGUAAAGGGACCGUAGUGAAAUGGUGCCCUAGAUCCUUUCAAAGGCCUAACCACCAAGUAGAAAUGCUUCAAAGGACUUGUAAAACCUCAAAACAACAUAUGGUCAUAAAAUGUAGAGUUUAAGACUGUAAACCCUUGAGUUUACUGCCGUAUACUCCUUGGGUAAUGGUCAUUAAAACCGUAAACUCCAGAGGAGUUUACCCUUGAACUCCAAACACUCUAGCUUUGCCCUACAAACACUUGGAUGCAACCCUUGUGAUCUUUAACACUUGAAACAAAGUGUUUUCAUGUUCUAGAGUGUCCCAACUUAAUUUAUUAGUUAUAAAUUGGCUAAUUAGUUAUAUAUAUGUUCAUUAUAUGAUAACUAGGCUCGUGCGUGUGUACAAGUCUCCAUUUGUCACCUAGCACCGUAUCCGACACUUCAAUCCAAUCCACUCACUGCAAGUGAGUUCAUACCCAUUUAACUAACCUUUGAAAUACUUUUAAAUGUUUUAAAUGCUUUUAUGGGGGGAGGGGAAUACAAGUUGAGUACUUAUAGUUAUUACAUCAAUCACAUGUGAUUAAUAACUACAAAACCAAUGAUUUUUCUUACUAUUCAAACUGUUUAUCAAACUGUUUUGCUUCAAACUGUUUAUCAAACUCUUUUACUUAUCAAAUACUUUUACUUAAACUCUGUUAUACUUAUUAUCAAUUACAUGUCCAUGUAUGUAUAGUUAUAUAAGCAAUGUUUAAAAGGCUUAGGAAAGCUUGCCCGCCCUAUUUCCUUUUCGCGCUUGAGAUGUGGUCUGGUGGGAUAUCGGGUGUCCGUCCGAAGGUCGUUUAAAUAUUAUUUAUAUAUCAUGUAUACAUAUAUAGUCAUAAAAGGUCCUUCCAGUCAAAUUCAAUACCCUUGGGUAGCAAGGGUAUACUUCCAUAUUCAUACGUACAAGUUAUAUUACUAGUAAACUACAAUAGGCGUAGUUUAGGGUUUUACUAAUACUAAUACAAGAACAAUGAAUCAUACAAAGAGUCAGUUCAUUCAUGAGUCAUAAUACAUAGCGAUGAGAAACAAACAUAAUACAGGUGGAUUGAGGCUCGGAGGGUGCACCAGGCCGACUGAAGGCCCGGUGCGCACAGACCAGUCAUACUGUAGACUCAGAGAGUGGACCGGGUGAAUUGAAGGCUCGGAGCGGGCGGACCAGUCACACAGUAGACCCGAAGUGUAUGGCUGUUCUGUGUUCUGAUAUGAUAUGCCAUGAUAUGCGAGUAUGGUAUAUGUGGUUGGUAUUCUGGGGGUAUCUCACUAAGCUUUCGGGCUUACAGGUGUGGUUUAAUGUUUUCAGGUUAUUCAGGAGACCGUGGCAAGGCAAAGGCGUGAUC